CUUUACAAUUGAUAACACUACUUUCUUAGACAAACACAUUGAGGAUUUGGUCCGCAUUUUUUUUAUUUGUAGUGACGUGUCUCUCACCUUGAGUGUGUUCCCACUAUCAAGUUGUGUCAUUUCACAAAAACUUGAAAGCUUUAGGGUGGAUACACGAGUUUUUGUUGCAACAAACUAUAAUCUCAAGAUUGUGGGAGGUAUUCUUUCAUACUGUUGUGAAACCUUAUUAUGUUUUCGUAAAAUGAUGUCCACCAUGAUGCUUUUGCAAAGACUGACACCCCAUCUCCAGGAAGAUUUUUCUAAAUGCCACAUCAGGAACUCGCUAUGACAAGGAGACUGAUGCAAGAGAGAGUUAUUUUUACAAUUUCUUCACAAAUGAUACUGGGAACAUAUCAGCAGCUUCUUUGUUGAGGGGCUUUGCAAAGGUUGAGCCUAUGAAAAUAGCGGAGCUUAACCAGUUUAUCAUCACUCCUCAGCCUCAAUCCAUUAAAUUUAUUUGCACUGGAAAGGUGACCGUAUCAAGCCAGAAAAAGGAUGGUGCUACAUCUUGGACCCUGGAGAUCACAUGCUUGGGAUCAGUUUCUCUCUCAGCGAAGAUGUUUGGAGGUGGGAAUGAGAAGGAGAACAACUCUGGCAGCAAAACUUCAACUGGUCUCAUACUGAAAAAAGCUCAGACCACAUCUGCCAAGGUGAAGAGUAUGCUGGAGCUGGUCACAUUAAUACGUGUUUGAAAAUGCUUAUGAAUCAUUAUCCCUGUUCCCCCUAUUCUCUGUAGUAUUUUUCAGAAGAUAUUAUAAAUUAAGUUCAAGUAUAAUCCAAUGGUUAUUUUACUC